CACGUCUCCUAAUAACUCUCCUGGUAAAACGCAAUAGAUCUACCAACCGAUCGGCUUCAUAGACAAACCUAGCAAAAGCCUCCAUACAUAACAAAAACACGAGGAAGUUCUCUCUCUAAGAAGAACCAAACGCAAGAAACUAUCUACAUGCAGAAAGAAAGAAUCAACAGGCAACAGCAAGCCCCUAUUUCCAUGACGUAUUAAUGCUCAGAUGAUGGGAUCGAGAUCGAUGGUGCUUAAGGCUACUGCAAGUAAUUGUUGUUUCAGACCCUCAUUUGCCCGCUCUCUGUUUCAAACCCUUUACUCUUUCCAGGAGGAAUCGAUCCAAUCCGGACAUACUGGUCAUUCAAAUUAAUUUCCCAGAGGUUGAAAGGAUAUACAAUUCCAGCUGGAUGGGACUAUAAUGGUUGUCAGCUCUGCUCUUCAGGGUUCCCCAUGUGUAUCCAAACAUCUGGCUGGGGAAGUAAACAUUUAAAUCCCUCAGUCCCCUUUGCACAUCUUCUUCAUCAGACAAUUCUUCCCGAGGAUACCAACAGUAUAUGCCUCCAACCUGAAAUACUGUUGCAGAUUUGUUCGAGCUAGCUACUCAAUUGAACAACAUCUACAGCCAUAUUAAGAGAAGCUGAUGUCCAGAAUAAAGUGCAAGAGAAGUUAAAACUUUCAAAUUAUGUUUGAUUCUGUUUCUUAUUGACUCUAUUGUAAAUAGAAUAAAGAAAAGUUGUUUACCAGGGCCUCCCUCCUCAGUUGUUCUUCCUAUGACAUUGCAGAGAUCAAUUCCUGCUAUGCCAUCAUAACACCAGAAAAACCGGAACAUUUCAAUCAGCAUGGUUGGAGACACCGUGAGCAACAAUUUAGCCGUAGUUAUCUCAGCCGUAGUUAUCCCAGUAGUUAUCUGUUUGUUUUCAAACACAGUUAAACACAUGCAUUUUUAGUUAUCUGUUUCAAACACAGUUAAACACAUGCAUUUUUAAAAAGAAAAAAAAAUUUAAAUAUUAACCAACCUUUUCCUUUGGAUAAUAUUCGUCCAAAUGCUUAAUUGCAUUGCAGAAAUAGAAGAGCUCGUCCACAGGUUCAUGAUCAAGAUAACGUUUUGGUUCAGUAUCGCCAUACCCAUCCUCACAUAACUGGAGAAAUUCUGGAUCAAGUUCUGAGAGUGAUUUUCUGAUAUUAACUCUUUUGGUCCUCGUCUGUUUGACCAGUCUACUAUAUGCCUUUUCCCACCUCAUCAACGUAGGAUCUGUUGCCACAGCUUGUCCAACUUGGUGAUGACUGCUGCUGAGUUUUGGGAAGUGGCGGCGACUGGGGAAAGCAUGGUUGGGAUUUUGUUGGAUGAUAUUCAGCACACUUCGUCCUCUGGGUAAGAAUGCACAUGACUCAACUUCAUUUUGCAGAUGUGGAUGGUUGUACAGUAAUAUCAGCUGCCUCCUGUAAAGGAGAGAUGAUGGUAAGCAUUUCUUUACUUCAUCACAUUUAUAUGGAACUUAAAAAAACUGGAAACAAUACAUGACAACAUUCUCUGACAAGCAAAUAAACUUGUUUUGCAAAGGCCACUAUUUUAUAUGAUACUUCAAGAUAUCACAAUUAUUUUAUCAAAGAUAUUGGUAAUCUCAAUACUUACCAUAUAUCAAUGUAUGUUCUUGGAGCUUUGAAGUACAAAAUCUAAAUCUAACCUAUAUAUGAAGGAAGAUGAUGUUCCACAUUGUUACAUAUGAGUGCACCUAAAGUUCUACAUUGUGCAGCAAUUCUUAACCGGCAAGAACAUUGUUACAUAUGAGUGCACCUAAAGUUCUACAUUGUGCAGCAAUUCUUAACCGGCAAGAAUUUGUGGAUGGUUCUGAGGAAUCAACUUAUGAUGAAAAUGCAACACCAGCAGCAGAUGAUUUUGAUGUAAAGCAUGACUAUGAAUGAUUGGGAGCUCAUGAUUCCUUUAGCCUUCUUUUCUGGUGAUAUGGUUAUCUUGAUUCAAAUUUAGGAAUAAAAUUAGACCUUGGUGUUGCAACAAGGAAGAAUUAUCUUCAGUGGCAUGGUACUCGGGCUGAGUUGGUGGUGACGGAAGCCGAGUUGUGCAAUGAGAUACUCAAUAAUAAAGAUGGAUUCUAUCCGAAACCCAAGUUCAGAGCUUAUGCAAAGAAGAUAUUUGGGAAAGGCCUUCCACAAUUAGAAGGUGAAAACUGGGCGAAAUCGUGAAUGCUGGCCAACCAUGCCUUCCAUGGACAGAGCUUAAAAUAUAAUGGCAAAAGAAUGAAAGGAAGAUAGGAGAGACCUCUUUGAAUGAAUGGAUGCAGCACGGGAAGAAACGGACACAUACCUUACAGAGAUUCCAAGCUAACACGCAUACUGCAAAAUUCUUUGGGAGGUAACACGCUAGGACAGCCAUCAUUUGCACCAUGAGCCCUGCACGAAGUCAUGUUGAGCAAUCAAAAAACACCCUGUUCUUUGCAAGUUGUGCAAAAGAGGUUACUACUAAUGCAAAGGUCAGAUAAGGCAUUGGUAAAGCAAUAUCAUAAUGUGUGUAUAUGUGCAUAUUGCCAUGAGUUAUUUAUGUGAAGGUUCCGUAAUAGCAAUUCUUACUGUAUGUGAGAACUAAACAUUCAUACUUGGAUAACCACAGACCAAAAUCUUUCUUCUUUUGCUUUCUUAUGUCGGUUUUUUUUUUUUCCUUGUGUCCUUGCUUUCCUGAUUGAUAGUUUACAAGUAUACAAUACCUUUAGAUCCUUGCUAAUUUAGUAUGUUGCUGUCAUAUAGCUAUUAUUAUACCCUUUGUCUAGUUGAAAAGUUUAUCCUUUCAAUUUUGAGUUGCAUCAAUAUAAGUAUCUUAAUCAUAAUCUAUUCCCAGAACAGUCAAUUGUCUAAUUUCCUUAAAUUAGGAAUUCCAUUAGAGAUUUAAUCUUUGGCAGUCAUAGUUUUAUUUUAUAAUAUAACAAACUUUUCCUUCUGUUAAUAAAUUAAUGUUCCUGCAAAAGCCACUACUUGUCUGGAUUGAACUGCUGAUUUGAUGAUAGACUGGCUGGUCAGAAAAACCAUUAAACUGACCAACAUUUGCAGCAUAGGCAGUAUUGAGGUCAUUGAGAGGCAAAUUCAUUGACAUACCAGGUGCAGGAAUACAACUUGAGCUUGUAGGAAUGUAAUUCGAUGAUGGCAAACACUUCAUUUGUGCAUGAGAUGAACUUGAGUGAAAAGAUGAAGCCUCAACGUCAUUAUUGAAGCUAUUAUGAGCAACCAUAGUUUUUGGAUCAUUCUGAGAUUUGUUGUUUGAUUGCUGUCUAUA